UCAAGUAAUUAAGUGCAUGUGGUGGAUGCCUUGGCAGUCAGAGGCGAUGAAAGACGUGAUAGCCUGCGAAAAGCUCCGGGGAGGCGGCAAAUAUCCUUUGAUCCGGAGAUGUCUGAAUGGGGGAACCCACCUACUUUAAGGUAGGUAUUGCAACAUGAAUACAUAGUGUUGCAAGGCGAACGAGGGGAAGUGAAACAUCUCAGUACCCUUAGGAAAAGAAAUCAAUUGAGAUUCCCUCAGUAGCGGCGAGCGAACGGGGAUCAGCCCAUUAAGUUAUGUGUGUUUUAGUGGAACGCUCUGGGAAGUGCGAACGUAGAGGGUGAUAUUCCCGUACACGAAAGGGCACACAUAAUGAUGACGAGUAGGGCGAGGCACGUGAAACCUUGUCUGAAUAUGGGGGGACCAUCCUCCAAGGCUAAAUACUCCUGACUGACCGAUAGUGAACCAGUACCGUGAGGGAAAGGCGAAAAGAACCCCUGUGAGGGGAGUGAAAUAGAUCCUGAAACCGCAUGCAUACAAGCAGUGGGAGCACCUUCGUGGUGUGACUGCGUACCUUUUGUAUAAUGGGUCAGCGACUUAUAUUCAGUAGCGAGGUUAACCGUAUAGGGGAGCCGUAGAGAAAUCGAGUCUUAAUAGGGCGUUUAGUUGCUGGGUAUAGACCCGAAACCAGGCGAUCUAUCCAUGAGCAGGUUGAAGGUUGGGUAACACUAACUGGAGGACCGAACCCACUGUCGUUGAAAAGCCAGGGGAUGACUUGUGGAUAGGGGUGAAAGGCUAAUCAAGCCUGGUGAUAGCUGGUUCUCCCCGAAAGCUAUUUAGGUAGCGCCUCGGACGAAUACCAUAGGGGGUAGAGCACUGUUUCGGCUAGGGGGUCAUCCCGACUUACCAAACCGAUGCAAACUCCGAAUACCUAUGAGUACUAUCCGGGAGACAGACUGCGGGUGCUAACGUCCGUAGUCAAGAGGAAAACAAUCCAGACCGCCAGCUAAGGCCCCAAAAUCAUAGUUAAGUGGGAAACGAUGUGGGAAGGCAUAGACAGCUAGGAGGUUGGCUUAGAAGCAGCCACCCUUUAAAGAAAGCGUAAUAGCUCACUAGUCGAGUCGGCCUGCGCGGAAGAUGUAACGGGGCUAAAACUAUGUGCCGAAGCUGCGGAUGUAUACUUUGUAUACGUGGUAGGGGAGCGUUCUGUAAGCCGAUGAAGGUGUGUUGAGAAGCAUGCUGGAGGUAUCAGAAGUGCGAAUGCUGACGUGAGUAACGACAAAACGGGUGAAAAACCCGUUCGCCGAAAGACCAAGGGUUCCAGUCCAACGUUAAUCGGGGCUGGGUGAGUCGACCCCUAAGGCGAGGCCGAAAGGCGUAGUCGAUGGGAAAAUGGUUAAUAUUCCAUUACUUCUGUGUAAUGCGAUGAGAGGACGGAGAAGGCUAAAUCAGCCUGGCGUUGGUUGUCCAGGUGAAAGGAUGUAGGCAUGUAUCUUAGGCAAAUCCGGGGUACUCUAUGCUGAGAUCUGAUAGCAAGCUGUACUUGUACAGCGAAGUGGUUGAUGCCAUGCUUCCAGGAAAAGUCUCUAAGCUUCAGUUACACAGGAAUCGUACCCGAAACCGACACAGGUGGUCAGGUCGAGUAGACCAAGGCGCUUGAGAGAACUCUGCUGAAGGAACUAGGCAAAAUGGUACCGUAACUUCGGGAGAAGGUACGCUGUUGUUGGUGAUGGAACUCGCUUCCUGAGCUGACGACAGCCGCAGAAACCAGGCCGCUGCAACUGUUUAUUAAAAACAUAGCACUCUGCAAACACGAAAGUGGACGUAUAGGGUGUGAUGCCUGCCCGGUGCUGGAAGGUUAAUUGAUGGGGUUAGCGUAAGCGAAGCUCUUGAUCGAAGCCCCAGUAAACGGCGGCCGUAACUAUAACGGUCCUAAGGUAGCGAAAUUCCUUGUCGGGUAAGUUCCGACCUGCACGAAUGGCAUAAUGAUGGCGGCGCUGUCUCCAGCAGAGGCUCAGUGAAAUCGAAAUCGCUGUGAAGAUGCAGUGUACCCGCGGCUAGACGGAAAGACCCCGUGAACCUUUACUGCAGCUUGACACUGAACUUUGACCUUACUUGUGUAGGAUAGGUGGGAGGCUUUGAAGCUGGAACGCUAGUUCCAGUGGAGCCGUCCUUGAAAUACCACCCUGGUAAUGUUGAGGUUCUAACUCUGUCCCGUGAUCCGGGACGAGGACCGUGUCUGGUGGGUAGUUUGACUGGGGCGGUCUCCUCCUAAAGAGUAACGGAGGAGUACGAAGGUGCGCUCAGCGUGGUCGGAAAUCACGCGUAGAGUAUAAAGGCAAAAGCGCGCUUAACUGCGAGACCCACAAGUCGAGCAGGUACGAAAGUAGGUCUUAGUGAUCCGGUGGUUCUGUAUGGAAGGGCCAUCGCUCAACGGAUAAAAGGUACUCUGGGGAUAACAGGCUGAUACCGCCCAAGAGUUCAUAUCGACGGCGGUGUUUGGCACCUCGAUGUCGGCUCAUCUCAUCCUGGGGCUGAAGCAGGUCCCAAGGGCAUGGCUGUUCGCCAUUUAAAGAGGUACGCGAGCUGGGUUUAGAACGUCGUGAGACAGUUCGGUCCCUAUCUACCGUGGGCGCUGGAAAUUUGAGAGGAUCUGCUCCUAGUACGAGAGGACCAGAGUGGACGAACCUCUGGUGUACCGGUUGUGACGCCAGUCGCAUCGCCGGGUAGCUAUGUUCGGAAGGGAUAACCGCUGAAAGCAUCUAAGCGGGAAGCCUACCUCAAGAUAAGAUUUCCCUAGGACUUUAUGUCCUCUAAAGAGCCGUUCGAGACUAGGACGUUGAUAGGUUGGAUGUGGAAGCAUAGUGAUAUGUGAAGCUGACCAAUACUAAUUGCUCGUGAGGCUUGACUAU
rnacentral:rRNA from 1 species